rnacentral:rRNA from 1 species
UACGAAGGGGGCUAGCGUUGCUCGGAAUCACUGGGCGUAAAGGGUGCGUAGGCGGGUCUUUAAGUCAGGGGGGAAAUCCUGGAGCUCAACUCCAGAACUGCCUUUGAUACUGAAGAUCUUGAGUUCGGGAGAGGUGAGUGGAACUGCGAGUGUAGAGGUGAAAUUCGUAGAUAUUCGCAAGAACACCAGUGGCGAAGGCGGCUCACUGGCCCGAUACUGACGCUGAGGCACGAAAGCGUGGGGAACAAACAGG